CAGCUAUGUAAAUUGUAAGGCCCUCACAUAUGUAGUUUUGCACCUGACCAUGCCAGAACAUCACAUACGUAGUCUUGGCACAUUGUAUUGUAUUGUAAUAAGACCCUAUCCCUACACCUCCCUAGUAAUGCCCCCUAGAUACGUUUUAUAUUAAUGAUGGGUUAUAUGCUUUCACCAAUGUUUUAUGCUCAAGCUUUUUCAUGACGUUUGUUAAUAGUUGUCAAUAUUUGCUUGGUAAUUAAUGAUACUAUCCCUUGACUCCCUUUUAUUGCAUGUUAUAAAAUCUUUGUUCUGUUUAGUAAAUAUCAGACAUGUCCCAAAAUGACUCCCUUCUGUCGCCUAGUACUUGAAAGAGGGUUGCUCAGUCUCUAUAGAGUUGUGAGACCAUGGCACGUAAUUCUGGUGAUUACCAAAGACAGAAGUAUGUUUGAACAAAGUCGAUGUAGG